GCAGGAUACAGCAGGACCUGACUCUUCUGCAGGCUACAGACUGGACCUCAGGACACUUCAAUGAAUAUAUUUUUAAAAAACUAUCACAUAUUCUGGUGCUUAUGUUGUUUAUAGAAAAGCAAGUGUGUUGGAGAACAGAGGAAUUUUUUUCCACCCGGGACCCAAACAGACAUAGAGGAUGUUCCUUUUGCAGUGAUCAGGUAUCUGCAUCACGUUGGGAAGUCCAUCACCCACGAGAAAUGGAAACAGUGGCAGCCCUCAGGAAUGAGGGCAAAACCCUCUCCGAAGUCAGGCAACAAAACCAGAUGGAAAACCGUGAAGCCAAUAAUACAUUCACUCCCAGCCUUUGGUGUCCCACCAAGCAGCAGGGAGGGCUUUUUGCGGUAAAAGAAUGGCCUGUGGUGAGACUCCACAGAGAGCCCUGCAGACACUGGCCUUAGAGCACCAAAGAGAAAUGCACCAAGGGAAGCUUUGAGGUGAUCUCCAAGGCGCAGCUGCACCAGAAGUCACCAGAGCAGUGUUUCUACCUCCAACACACAUCUGUUUGUUUUCUGUUCUUUCAAUAAGAUUUUCUGUACAGCAUGAAAACAGAAUUGGAUACACAGUAUUUAAAUAUCGACAACGGGAGUUCAAUCUCUACCUCCAUGCAAAUAAACAACUUUUAAUGUUUGUUUUAAUGUCAAGAAUCCCCUUGGCGUGUAGAUGUUCCUUCCAGGGCAGCCCUGGGGAAGGUAAUCAUUUACAAAUGAAUAUUUUUGCUUCUAUCAUGUUAUUGUUCUGCCACUGCAUUCUCACAUUCAUUGGCUGAAGGCUCUGCAUCACACCCCAGGUUGCCUGCAGGGGUUUGCAUAUUGUGGUUUAUUUGGUUCCUGCUCUAACAAGGCUGAAAACUCCCUGGUAGCUGUUUCUCUAUGUGGAAACUGUUUCUUUAAUCAAACAGAUCAUCAACAUUGAGGUCAUGACGUAGGUAUCUUUGAGAACUAUCGUGCAUGAUCGAGAUGGGUUAGAAUUAAAAUCAGGGCUUGCUAGAUCAGCAAGCUGUGACCUUGCUUCCAAGGUCAGCAGGUCACAGAAAGAAAUCAUGUCUAUCACGCAACACUAAGCAGAAUACUGCUUCAUUUAGGCAAGAAAAUUGUCUAUGUGAAACUAAAACAGUGUGUAAUGGAAACUAAGCUUGAGAUUGUUGUAUGUGUUC
ensembl:lncRNA